UACAGGGGGUGCAAACGUUGCUCGGAAUUAUUGGGCGUAAAGCGCACGUAGGCGGUUCGUUAUGUCGGAUGUGAAAGCCCUUGGCUCAACUGAGGAAGUGCAUCCGAAACUGGCGGGCUAGAGUAUGUAAGAGGGUCGCGGAAUUCCCGGUGUAGAGGUGAAAUUCGUAGAUAUCGGGAGGAACACCGGUGGCGAAGGCGGCAUCCUGGACCGACACUGACGCUGAGGAGCGAAAGCCAGGGGAGCAAACGGG
rnacentral:rRNA from 1 species